UCUUGGUCAUUUAGAGGAAGUAAAAGUCGUAACAAGGUCUCCGUUGGUGAACCAGCGGAGGGAUCAUUACCGAGUUUACAACUCCCAAACCCCUGUGAACAUACCACUUGUUGCCUCGGCGGAUCAGCCCGCUCCCGGUAAAACGGGACGGCCCGCCAGAGGACCCCUAAACUCUGUUUCUAUAUGUAACUUCUGAGUAAAACCAUAAAUAAAUCAAAACUUUCAACAACGGAUCUCUUGGUUCUGGCAUCGAUGAAGAACGCAGCAAAAUGCGAUAAGUAAUGUGAAUUGCAGAAUUCAGUGAAUCAUCGAAUCUUUGAACGCACAUUGCGCCCGCCAGUAUUCUGGCGGGCAUGCCUGUUCGAGCGUCAUUUCAACCCUCAAGCACAGCUUGGUGUUGGGACUCGCGUUAAUUCGCGUUCCUCAAAUUGAUUGGCGGUCACGUCGAGCUUCCAUAGCGUAGUAGUAAAACCCUCGUUACUGGUAAUCGUCGCGGCCACGCCGUUAAACCCCAACUUCUGAAUGUUGACCUCGGAUCAGGUAGGAAUACCCGCUGAACUUAAGCAUAUCAAUAAGCGGAGGAA
rnacentral:rRNA from 1 species